AGUUGCCAGCUCGGUCCUCCCGGGGAUGGUGGGGACGACUGUUGGGACCGCCUCUGCUAAAGAGGAGGAAGGAAUGGGCAACGGUAGGUCAGCAUGCCCCGAAUUAUCUGGGCUACACGCGGGCUACAAUGGGUGGGACAAUGGGUAUCGACACCGAAAGGUGAAGGCAAUCUCCUAAACCCAUCCGUAGUUCGGAUUGUGGGCUGCAACUCGCCCACAUGAAGCUGGAAUCUGUAGUAAUCGUGUCUCAAAAUGGCACGGUGAAUAUGUCCCUGCUCCUU
rnacentral:rRNA from 1 species